ensembl:lncRNA
GUGAACAUGAGUGUUCAUGCCCUGUACACUAAAUAAGUGCCCAAGAGGAACAAGUUCAACCAGCAAGGGGAUGGUUGUAAGACUAAGGGGCUGCCUUGGACCACAAUCAUUCCGGGAAAAGACAUCAGGCUACAACAAAGGAGGGAGUGCUCAGAUUCAACCAAUAAUUCUUCAAGGCUGCAAAGGCAUUCGUGGUGAAAUCCAUCAAGGAGGAAAAGAUUUUGAGCAAAUUCCAUCUGGGAGGGAAGCUGACUGCUGCCUGGGCAAAGGAAAACAAUGGGAAAAUGUAAAUAAAAAGUACAAGGAGGCUAGGGAGAAAACUAGCCCUGUGCCAAAGAAGAGGAACAAUGACCUUCUGCAUUUCCUCAGAGAGACAGGAGAAGAGGGACAAUGAGGCUCGGGAGAAAGAGGAGAAGAGGGAGGAAGAGGCUGCCAAGAGAGGUCACAAGUUCCUCUCUCUUUUUGGGAAAUGUGUAGAUAAGGUGUGAGAGUUUUGAGAGAGAUGUGAGUUAGGGUUUUAAAGUUAAAUUUUAAAGUUUAAAUGGUUCAAUUGUAAUUACGCAAGGGUUAACAUGAUCCACUGUUCCCUGUGUCUCUAUAUAGUUAGAUAUUGAUAACACCAUAACAACCAUGUAGCAAUUCAAGUGAAUUGACUUAUUAUGGUGAAUUUUGAUGCUGAACUAUAUUUGAUGUUACAAGGGCAAAACAGGAACAUGGUAAAUUCAGAGAAUUGUUGUUUACGUGUUUUACAUCACAUGUACUUCUAACCCAGCAGGGACA